GACGAACGCUGGCGGCGUGCUUAACACAUGCAAGUCGAACGGAAAGGCCCUGCUUUUGUGGGGUGCUCGAGUGGCGAACGGGUGAGCAACACGUGAGUAACCUGCCCUUGACUUUGGGAUAACUUCAGGAAACUGGGGCUAAUACCGGAUAGGAGCUCCUGCUGCAUGGUGGGGGUUGGAAAGUUUCGGCGGUUGGGGAUGGACUCGCGGCUUAUCAGCUUGUUGGUGGGGUAGUGGCUUACCAAGGCUUUGAAGGGUAGCCGGCCUGAGAGGGUGACCGGCCACAUUGGGCCUGCGAUACGGCCCAGACGCCUACGGGAGGCAGCAGGGGGGAAUAUUGCACAAUGGGCGGAAGCCUGAUGCAGCAACGCCGCGUGCGGGAUGACGGCCUUUGGGUUGUAAACCGCUUUCGCCUGUGACGAAGCGUGAGUGACGGUAAUGGGUAAAGAAGCACCGGCUAACUACGUG
rnacentral:rRNA from 1 species